GGAGGAGCAGAAAGAGCAGGAAGGCUGGUCCGCCAACACCGCGGCCACUGCGGGAGAGGCCAGGAAGAUCACUGGUGACUUUGCCCCCAAGAGCCUGGCAGAAAUGGAAGCAGAUGGCAAGGGGCUCUGAUUCCUGGAACACGAGGCGCCAUCCCCCCGCCUGAGGUAAAUAAGAUGUUUUAACCAUUAAAGACCAAAGAAGGGAUAAUGUUUUCCUACACCCACACCACUGAAGCACCUCUGCAGGAAAAGAAACCUGCAUGUGUAUGUAAAGCAAUCUGUCCCUAACAGAGGACACCACUGGCAGAGCAUGAGUUGACCAAUCCAGUGUGGAAGGGGCUGCAAUUACCAGAACCCUUAGGGAAGCUCCGCUCCACUGUGUCCGCAGCAGGACACAGCUGCCGGCACUUAACUGGCCACCAAGCCUCGGGGACACCGGCAGGCCCGCCUGACAGGCUGGGAAGCUGGCCUGGGGCCACAUUUUCAAUUGUGCUGACAUGAAGACGCUUCCUAGGCAAGAUCUCCUCCUAUCUGAGGCUCUCGACCAGCAGACAACUAAGGAAGGUAACCGAGAGUCUACUUUUCCAUAUUUUUACCACAGGUUUAAAAUAAGGUACUUUGCUUAAUUAAGUGUGGAAUCUAAGAAAAGGAUACAGAUGAACUUAUUUACAAAACAGAGAGAGACUCAGAGACUUAAACAAACUUAUGGUUACCAAACGAGAAGGUGGAAGAGGGAUACAUCAGGAGUUUGGAAUUAAUGUGUGCUGACACUGUAUAUAAAAUUUUUUUAAAAAGGGACCUACUUUAUAGCAUGGGGAACUAUAUUCAGUAUCUUAUAAUAACCUACAAAGGGAAAGAAUCUGAAGAAGAAAUAUAGAUGUUUACAACUGAGUCAGUCUGCUGUACAUCUGAAACCAAUGUUACCAACCCAGGUUCUUGGACUCUGCAAUCAAUAGAAAUUUCUUGAUAAGAGACCAGAUGAGUAAUUCAGACAAGACUUUACUGGGACUUGUGCUGCAGCAGUGAGGAGCAAGAAUAAGCAACAGGUGUCCUUGCUGGCUCCCUGAGUGGGGGUAGUGAGCAGAUUAAAGGUUACUUGGCCAGAGACGACCCAGCCCUGUGGUCUGUGGACUUGAUGGUAGAGUUAGUGGCAAUCUCCAAGAGGACUUAUGUCAAGGGAUCCCUUCUAGGACUGCUGCUGCCAGUACCCCUCUCCCCACAGCGAGCCACUGCUGACCUGUGCCUCCCCAAUACCAGCAGGUAAGUCUGGGUCAGUCUCCUGUGAGGUCACUGCUCCUUUCCCCUGGGUCUUGGUUUGUGUGCUUCAAGAGAGGAGUCUAUUUCCCCCAGGCAUGUGGAAGUCCUGUAAUUAAAUCCCACUGACCUUCAAAGGCAGGUUCCUUGGGGAUUCCCAGUCCCUUUGUUGGAUCCCCAGGCUGGGAAGCCUGAUGUGGAACUAAAAACCUUCACAACCGUGGGAGAACUUCUUUGGU